UAAGGAAUAUUGGUCAAUGGACGCAAGUCUGAACCAGCCAUGCCGCGUGAAGGAUGAAGGUCCUCUGGGUUGUAAACUUCUUUUAUCUGGGACGAAAACGGGAUUUUUAUCUCAAUUGACGGUACCAGAGGAAUAAGCACCGGCUAACUCCGUGCCAGCAGCCGCGGUAAUACGGAGGGUGCGGGCGUUAUCCGGAUUUACUGGGUUUAAAGGGUGCGUAGGUGGGCUUAUAAGUCAGUGGUGAAAUCUCCGAGCUUAACUUGGAAACUGCCGUUGAUACUAUAGGUCUUGAAUUAUCUGGAGGUAAGCGGAAUAUGUCAUGUAGCGGUGAAAUGCUUAGAUAUGACAUAGAACACCAAUUGCGAAGGCAGCUUACUACAUAUAAAUUGACGCUGAGGCACGAAAGCGUGGGGAUCAAACA
rnacentral:rRNA from 1 species